UACGUAGGUGGCAAGCGUUGUCCGGAAUUAUUGGGCGUAAAGCGCGCGCAGGUGGUUCCUUAAGUCUGAUGUGAAAGCCCACGGCUCAACCGUGGAGGGUCAUUGGAAACUGGGGAACUUGAGUGCAGAAGGAGGAAAGUGGAAUUCCAAGUGUAGCGGUGGAAAUGCGUAGAGAUUUGGAAGGAACACCAGUGGCGAAGGCGACUUUCUGGUCUGUAACUGACACUGAGGCGCGAAAGCGUGGGGAGCAAACAGG
rnacentral:rRNA from 1 species